rnacentral:rRNA from 1 species
GUUGAACGCUGGCGGCAUGCCUUACACAUGCAAGUCGAACGGUAACAGGUCUUCGGAUGCUGACGAGUGGCGAACGGGUGAGUAAUACAUCGGAACGUGCCCGAGAGUGGGGGAUAACGAGGCGAAAGCUUUGCUAAUACCGCAUACGAUCUCAGGAUGAAAGCAGGGGACCGCAAGGCCUUGCGCUCACGGAGCGGCCGAUGGCAGAUUAGGUAGUUGGUGGGAUAAAAGCUUACCAAGCCGACGAUCUGUAGCUGGUCUGAGAGGACGACCAGCCACACUGGGACUGAGACACGGCCCAGACUCCUACGGGAGGCAGCAGUGGGGAAUUUUGGACAAUGGGCGCAAGCCUGAUCCAGCCAUGCCGCGUGCAGGAUGAAGGCCUUCGGGUUGUAAACUGCUUUUGUACGGAACGAAAAGACUCCUUCUAAUAAAGGGGGUCCAUGACGGUACCGUAAGAAUAAGCACCGGCUAACUACGUGCCAGCCGCCGCAGUAAGAC